AGUCGAACGAUGAUGCCCAGCUUGCUGGGUGGAUUAGUGGCGAACGGGUGAGUAACACGUGAGUAACCUGCCCUUGACUUCGGGAUAACUCCGGGAAACCGGGGCUAAUACCGGAUAUGAGCCGCCUUCGCAUGGGGGUGGUUGGAAAGUUUUUCGGUCAGGGAUGGGCUCGCGGGCCUAUCAGCUUGUUGGUUGGGGUGAUGGCCUACCAAGGCGACGACGGGUAGCCGGCCUGAGAGGGGCGACCGGCCACACUGGGACUGAGACACGGCCCAGACUCCUACGGGAAGGCAGCAGUGGGGAAUAUUGCACAAUGGGGCGAAAGCCUGAUGCAGCGACGCCGCGUGAGGGAUGAAGGCCUUCGGGUUGUAAACCUCUUUCAGCAGGGAAGAAGCGCAAGUGACGGUACCUGCAGAAGAAGCGCCGGCUAACUACGUGCCAGCAGCCGCGGUAAUACGUAGGGCGCAAGCGUUGUCCGGAAUUAUU
rnacentral:rRNA from 1 species